AAAUGUAUAAGAAAGUCGAACCCACAAGUGCAGCUAUGUUACAAAACUAUUUGAUACCCUACAAAAUGGGAAAAGAAGCUAUUUAUACUAAGUUGAAAAUUCUGGACUAAAAUGCCCCUACGGGGUUAGUGCGGACCGCACAAAAUGGUGUGCGGCUGCACUAGGGCUCUGAAUCUGAAGAUCUGACUCUCUGAACUCAGGCAGUGCGGACCACAGAGAAUGGACUGCGGCCGCGGAGGCUUCUAGUGCGGUCUGCACAACAUGGAAUGCGGACCGCAUUGACUUAAAUCCUUGAAACUGGCACCUCUCUGAUCUUGGGUUUUGCGGACGGCACUAAAUUGAGUGUGGCCGCAUUGCCUUCAGUGCGGACCACACAAAUCCUAGUGUGGCCACAUUGCCUUUGUUCCUUGAAAGUCAUGCUCUUUUAACCUCAUAGUACGGACCACACAGAAUAUAGCGCGGCCGCACUGGCCUUGCUUUGAGUGAGCUUUUUCUUGUCUUGGUACUUGUGCAAGUUUCACUCCUUUUGAGCUGAUCUUUGACAUCUUGUCACUUUGUUGAUUAAACCUACAAUCAUGCACAACUUGUGAUCCUUUUGGGACUAUUUUGUAUGAAUUUCUAAUCAAAGCAUAAGCAAGAAAGAGUAUAAAAUGCAUUAAAAUCCCUAGUUAUCAGGCUUACGGAGAUUGAGACUGAGGAUGGCUCGAGUAAAAGAAAACUUUGACAAAGGAUAUAAUAUGCUUCAUAGGUGUAUGAGAAUCAUAGAAUGUCUUGAGUGGUUAUUGGUAAAGGAUUUGCGGUGCAUAGAUCAGGGAGUUGCUUGAUUGCAUUAAGGUGAGGUUACAUUCUGCGGUUUUGGAGUGCUAAUGAAGCACGGGUUGUUCGGUUCAUUUGAUCAGGCUGAUUGCAGUUUAAGUAGAGUGGAUGACUCUCGAGAAUGGUUCUAAUGGGUUCAAGAUGUUAUAUGUAAUAAUUGGAGAUUUCCAAGUUGUAUAUUUGGCUAGAAACUGAGUUUUGCAUUGGAGGGUGUCAAGACUUGUGGUAUUUCUAUAUCAUUAUGGAUUAUACACAUUAGUAUCAGGAAGGUGAAGGUAAUGGCUUUAGAUGUGCAAGAAGUCUCUUCAGGGAAAGUAUUUCCAAUGUGGUGCUUUAGAGGAUAUUUAAUAGAGUAGUCAGCGGCUUAUGAGCUGUAGGACGGUGUGGCUUUAUUCUUGGGUCUCGUGUGGAGAGUCUGGGUCAAGGAUUGUGGUGUUACGGCAAGAAGAAGUAUCAAGUUGAAGGUAAAUCAGAAGGAACUUGGAUAGAUAGGAUAGCUUGGUAGUAGGCCGGAUUGGCAUGGUAAGGACAUGACUAGUUCUUUGGAUGCGUGCGAGGAAAUGAGUUUCUACAGGUGUUUUGCGAACAUUCUCUUGGGUUUUAGUGACCUGCGUAGCUUGGUUGAGUUAGAAGGAUUCAGUCCUGACGGUUUAGUUUUGUGCAAAUGGAAUUCAGAGAGUUCCUGAUGGUUUCUACCAUGGUUAGAUAUGCGUAUUUUCUAUGAGUGUGAGGAGCAUGGGAUGUGUAGUGAUUAUCUUCUAGAUGGGAUCAAUGGAAAGUUCUUAGCUUGUUGAGUACGUAGUUGUUUGUAGCUCGGAGUGGAUUAUGAAGUUCUCAUAUUUAUAUAGGAUGGAAUGGUAUAUGCGGUAUGUUGUGUAGGGUUGAGAUUUGCAUGUGUGAGGUCAUGGUUCAGUUCUGGAAGGAAGGUCAUAAAUACUUAGGCAGCAUGGACAGUUUCUGAUGACUAGGUAAAUGGUAUCACUUGAUAAGGGCAUACGUUUUAGAAAGGGCAAUGUGAUUGAGUUAAUAAUACAUCAUUGGCAUCGUGGCUCUCUCUUGUUGGAUCGACUGCUGAUAUUCAAGUUUGCUUGGUGGCACAGAAGAAUUAUAGGAGUACCUCUCAUGGGAUGAUUGAGUGUUAGAGUGUGUUGCAUAUUCAAGUGAAGUUGGGAUCAGAUAUGGUGAUCCGUGUGCUAUAUGGAUUUGGAGACUGGGAGUUUUCAGACAAGUUAGGUCAUGGUUGUGAACUGCAUACAUUGGUCUUGUGUGGUAACUAUUGUGAGGUUUGGAAACCCGAGUAGAUCAUUAUUGCUUGGUAUGUUAGGUUUUGGAUGUGAUAUUGGGUAUUGACUGGUUGUCUCCGUGUCAUAUUAUUCUGGACUAUUGCGCUAAGGCGAAGAUGUUGCCUAUGCUAGGAAUGCCACAGAUUGAGUGGCGAGGUUCGACGGAUUAUGUCCCCAUUAGGGUGAUUUCAUUUUUGAAGACCUAGCGGGUGACUGGGAAGGGUUGUCUUUCUUAUUUGGCCUUCGUGAUGGAUGUCAGUGCAGAGACUCCAACCAUUGAUUCAGUUCCGGUGGUGAGGGAUUUAUUCGUAUGUGUUUCCAUAUUGCCGAGCAUGUUACCGAACUGGGUUGUUGAUUUCAGUAUUGAUUUGGUGUUGGGCAUCGUAUCAUAAGGCACCGACGGAGUUAAAGAAGUUGAAGGAGAAGCUUCAGGAACUCCUUGGUAAGGGGUUCAUUUGUAGACCUAUAUGGAUGUAUGUUCUGCAUCGAGAUAGCUUUGUUGACUUCAAGUUGUAUUGUUGAGGGAUGUGUUGAUUCGAUUGUUAUUGAGCUUAUUAGUAAUCUGGGGUGAUCUAUGAGUUACCUUUCCGUGUUGCGAGGCAUUGGGAUUUGUUGGUUAUAGGCACAUGUGGUGCGGUGUUAUUGGGUCUCUUAGUGGAAUUUGAGCGGGAGGAGUAUUGGGUAUUGCUCGGCGGAUGACACAUCGGUUGUGUCCUUUCGGGUUGUGUGAUGUUAUGUCAAUUGCUUCGCCAUGAUUAUGAUGAUUUGCUUUGGUUCUGGACAGCAAAUUGCACGUGGUUGUCGAUUUUGAGCAUAGUGACUUGAGGUGUUUCAUGUGGACUAGUUUUAGAUAGGGUCGCGCAUUACAACGAGGUCAUUUGGAGGUAUGACCCAUCAGGUUAGAUUCAUGUAUUCUAUUUCUACGAUGUGUGACAGGUUCUCAGCAUUGUGUGUGGUGAUACUGGUGAGCUUGCGGUACGACUCUCUCAUUUGAGUCAUUUUUUCUAUGAUUUGAGUACAUUCGGAUUUUUACUUAUUGGUGCGUGGGUUGCAUGAGUUGUGGCUUUAGAUUGUAUUGAUGUGUCAUGUAACUAGAGUAGUUGUGUUGGAUUAUAUGAGAUCGUCCGGAUCUAAAAUGAAUAUAAACGGAUUCGGUUUCAGUAUAUUGGAAGGAGAAUAUCGAUGUUUGGCUCAGAAAUUUGCUAGGGUCUUGCCCAAGGAGAAGUGGCUUCAUGAAUGGUUGAACUAAGGAAUGGUUAUUGACUUUUUACGUGUUUCAUUUAUCCUUGGCAGUAUAUGAAAGUGUUGGAAUGAGAUUUUAGUUGAUAAGAGGUUUACUAUCGGUAUUCGAUUGUUGUGUGCAGCUGCUGUGAUUAGAAGUUAUCGCUACAAGUGUUUGAGUUAUGUGGUAUAUCAUAUAAUUGCACUUGAGGUUGCAGAUAUGGGUUAUUACAGUUUGUUCGGGCUUAUUCAGAGUAUAGAUGUGAGAUUUUGAUCUUGUGGAUGAUUUCAGAACUGGAAAAUGUGGUUCCGAGGUUUAUGGUCUAGGUUGGAUUGUGAAAUUUUAGUUACAUUGUGUUAUCGGACCUAUAUGAGAUAGGGUGACGUGGGAUCACCCCCGGGUAUGUACAUGGUAAGGUUAUUCAGCGAUUGGUUGGCUUUUGGAACAACUCCGAUCACUCGUUUUGAGCUUUUUCACUUUACUCGUCAGUUCUCGGGCAUGUCUAGAACCGUGUGAUGUAUUAUGACUUAUGUAGAUCGUCGGUUUUAGUUUUCAGGGUAAUCAGAAUGAAUUUGGAAGAACAGUUCUCAAUUUGAAGCUUAAAAAUUUGAAAGGUUUAACCAAAACUUGAAUUGUUAGUAAAUGACCUCCGAUUGGAAUUUUUAUGAUUUGGUUAGCUCCGUUAGAUGAUUUGGGACUUAGGAGCGUGGUCGGAAUGUGUUUUGGAGGUCUGCAGAAGGUUUAGGCUUGAAUUGGCGAAAUUGGAAUUUUGGCGUUUUUCGGUUGAUAUGUGAGAUUUUGAUAUAGGGGUCGGAAUGGAAUAACGGAAGUUGGAGUAGGUACGUUGUGUCAUUUGGGACGUGUGUGCAAAAUUUCAGGUCAUUCGGACGAGGUUUGGUAGACUUUUUGAUCAAAAGCGGAAUUUGGAAGCUCUUGGAAUUCUUAGGCUUGAAUUCGAUGUGAUUUUGGUGUUUUGAUGCUGUUUUGAGUGUUCAGAAGGUUGGGACAAGUUUGAAUGAGUUAUUUGGAAUGUUUGGUUAAGGUCCUGAGGGCCUCGGGUGAGUUUCAGAUGGUUAAACGGAUCAAUUUUAGACUUUGGACUUGGCAGUUUUUGCUGGUUUUUGUUGCAGACAAUUUGUUCUUCACGUUCACGGUCAGGGACCUGCGUUUGCGAAGGGUGUUCUCUGAGGCGGCGAAUUUUGACUUCGCAUUCGCACUUUGGGUGUCGAGUUCGCGAUGUUGUGAUGCUGUGAUUCUCCGCGUUCGCGAGGCUUAUGUCGCAUUCGCAUAGAGGAAGAGGAAUAGUUGGGUCCCCAAGGCGAUGGUUCUAUGCAUUCGCAUAGUAGAGGUCACGUUUGUGACCUGUUGAGUUUUCUGUGCAUCGCAUUCGCAAGGGGGUUAUCGCGUUCGCGUAGAAGGAAUUUUGGUCAGUGUAGUGGUGUGUUUCGUGAACGCGAGGGAUAUGCCGCGUUCGCGAUGAAGAAAUAUAUGGGCAGACAGUUUAUAUUUUUAAAAUCGAGGGUUUAAAUCCAAUAUAAUAAAAGCCAUUGGAGAGCUCGGGAGAAGGUUAAAUUUAAGGGGUUUUUCUGUGGAGCAAUUGGGGUAAGUAUUCUUCACUCAUAUUUGGUUUAAUUUCAUGAUUUAGUCUUGAAUUUCACCAUUUAAUUAAGAAAUUAGAGUGGAAAAUUGGGGGGAAAAUGGAAGAAAAGUUUGAGAAUUCAUCUAGAGAUUUGAAUGGACAAUUGAUGUCAGAUUUUGAUGAAUUUGAUAUGGGUAGAUUCUUGGGAGGAUGAGUAUUCUAUUGAUGUAAUGUUUAUCGCAUUUUGAGUUGUGGGCCCGGGGGUCGGGUUGAGAAAUUUUCGGGAUUUUUGAUGUAAAUUGGAUAUUUUCGAUUGGGCUUUGUUCCCUUAGCAUAUUUUAAUGGUUAUGUACUGAUUUUGGUUCGAUUUGGAGCAUUCGGGGGUCGAUUCGAGAGGGAAAAAACAUCGCGGGCUAGAGUUUGGACCGGAUCAAGGUGAGUAAUGAUUGUAAAUGUUGUCCUGAGGGUAUGAAUCCCCGGAUUGCACAUCGUUGUGCUAUAUUGAGGUGACGCACACGCUAGAUGACGAGCGUGAGGUCGUGCACCAUUGGGGAUUGUGACUUAGUCCAUCCCGAAUGAUUGUUUUGUCGCAUAUUUGACUGAAACGAUUUGCUAUCAUCAUAUUUUGGGCUGAAUGCCAUACUUGGGCCUCGUGCCAACUAUUUGAACCCUUAGGGGAUUUUCACUGAUAUUUCCUCACUGUUUUGACUUAAUACUUGAACUCAGUCAUGCUAUAUUCUACUAUUUUCAUAACUCAGCCAUGUUUACUCUGGUUUAACACUUAAAAUGACAUUUUGGGAUGAGCAUCAUAUUUUACUGUUGCCCGAGUGGCUUGUGAGAUUCAAACUGAGUAAGGUCGAGGGCCAAAGUUGUGAAGAAACACCUGAUUAUGGUUAUGAGGCCAAGGACCUAAGAUUUGUACACCACGAGGUGGCUUGUUGAUAUGAGGCCGAGAGCCUAUGUGAUUAUGCCACGAGAUGGAUUGAUAUUGUGCUUGGGCCAUAAGGGGACUCUCCAGGAGUCUGCACAUCCCCAGUGAGCGCGGAUACGCAUUGUGAUAUGAGAUAGAGCCCGAGGGGCUGCUAUUGUUCCAUGUGUUGCCCGAGGGGCUGAUUCUGUUGGUAUUGUGCCCGAGAGAUAGUUCUUUAUGUGUUUAACUUUUCUAGUUGCCUGUCUUUUACUUGCUUGACUGUUUAAAAAGGCAAAUUUUAAGAAGCUUAAACUGAACUUAAGUGACUUUACAUAUUUUCACUAUUUUAUUGCUUUUACUGGAUUUUAGUACUUCUUUGUAGCCUGUUGAUGUGCCUUUACGUGAUUUCUUAUUGCUCAGUCUGCAUUUAUUAUUAUUACUCACUGAGUUGGAGUACUCACUUUACUCCUUGCACCCCAUGUGUAGAUUCAGGCGCUUCAGGUCCUGCUUGCGAGGGUUGAGAGCUUCCAGCAAAUUCGGAGUUACACUAGGUAGCUGCUCGGCGUUCGUAGCCUAGUGCUUCUCCCUCUAUCUUAUUUUUUUUUGUUUUUGUUAUGUAAUAGUUGAGUAGACUCUUUCAGACAUGUAGUAUUAUUAUAGAUGCUCAUGACUGGUGACACCCCGAUGUCGGGUUAUGUCUAUUUCGCAACUGUAGUAUUCACCUUAUUUUGGGAUUUUAUUAUGUUAAAGUCUUAAUAUUUAUCAUUAUAAUUGCUUAAAAUGAAUUGGAAGUGUGUCGACUGGCCUUGUCGUCACGAGAGGUGCCAUCACAACCGGGUCCAAGUUAGGGUCGUGACAACUUACAACAACCUGUACGCAAUAAUAAUAAUAACAGAAAAGACAUGAAUGGAAGUAAAGCAGUUAAUUCAUGAUAAUAAACUCAAAUUCUAACUACCAGAGAGCCCAUAAUAACAAGUCACAUAAACUCAUCUCAAAUACCAAGGCCAAUCCAAUAGUCACAACAAAUAUAACUUUAUACAAUUCGCUGAGGCGUGCAACUCGAUCACACCAUAUCAUCAUCUGUCAAUAUCAUAAUCCCUCCUUAUUCUGCCAUUUCAAUUCAUUACCAUUCAAUUUCCGUUACGAUGUACAACCCGCUCCCCAAACAAUUUCAAUCAACAAUAACAAUUCAACAACCAAAAUUUAUAAGAAGUUCUACAUCAAAAGAGUAAAUGUACAAAGAAAUGGAGAAUAACAUAAUAAUCAAAGAAUCUCGAACAAAUCGAAUGUCUCAACUUUACCACUCCACUAUACCUAUCCAUUUAACAACUCAUACAAAUGAAACUACAUAAUUGAAGGCAAGAAAUGUUACGAAACUAUAAGACAAGAAAGACAUAAGACAAUCUAGAUAAGCAAGAAAAGCAAGUAGAGACAAGUAGCAAAUAAGUAUGAAAUUACGGAAGCGGCGGACAACAUAAUAUAAGGAUAGCUAAAUGACAAGUAACAAUUAUGGAAUGGAAGUCAAAUAAGCAUGUAGAUAUUAAGGCAUGUAACAAGAUAUUCUAUGAUGUAACAGAAAUAUGGAGCAGGUCACACAACGACGCCACUCGUCACCUUGCAUAUACGCCGUGUCACACGUAAUUCAAAUAACAUAAAUUUCAAGGGUCCCUAAUUCAUUCAAAUCAAGGUUAGACCUAACACUUACCUCACUCCACAACUUAAUCGAUCGAUCUAUCAUGGCCUUGCCAUUUGAACAAGACUCCAAACCAAUCAAAUCUAGCAAUUUACUAACUAGAUGAUUCAAAAUAAGCCUUAGAAACUACUCACGGAUAAAAGAGGUUCGAUUUAGGUCAUUUUUGAAAAAGUCAAUCCGGGCCCGCUUCGUCAAAAUCGAGAUUCAGACCAAAACCCAAUUAUCCAUUCACCCCCGAGCUCGGUUAUGUGAUUUGUUUUGAAUACGACCCUAAUUCGAGAACUAAAUCUCAAUUUAAUAAAAAUCCCUAAUUUUACCCAAAUCCUUAAUUUCUACCAUGAAAAUCCUAAAUUUGAUGUUGAAAUCUCAUGAAAUGUAAUGGGUAAUUGAAAAGAAAUUGAUUAAAGUCACUUACCAAUGAAUUUAGGAAGAAACGCCUCUUGGAAAAUAGCUUCUAGGGUGUUUAGGGUUGAGAGAUUGUGAGAAAUGAGCUAAGUCCCAUUUUUCUCCUUUUUUACCCAGCUGCGGAUGUUGCAAUUGCAAUUGUCACACCUCCUUUUUCACGGCCCGGAAGGGAUAUAAGGGAGUUUUUCCAAUUUAAGUGACAAUCAAAACGGAAUUAUUUAUAUUAAAAUCAGAGUCGCCACAUCGGAUAAUUUAUGGUGUCCCAAGUCACCGGUUUAAAAUCCCGAAUCGAGGAAGGUUGACUCUUAUUUAUGGUCUACGAACAUAGAAAUUCGGGAAAGGAAUUCUGUUAACCCAGGAGAAGGUGUUAGGCAUUCCCGGGAUCUGUGAUAUCAGCACGGUCGCUUUGAUCCUACUUGGCUUAAUCAAAUUAUCUUAUUACUCAUUUUAGAACCUAUGUGCGUUUACCUCUUAAUUAAGAAAUUAUCUUAAACUAGGUCCCGCGCACAUGUACCCAUUUAUUUGGUGCGUCAAAAAUCAUGUCACGCGAACGUGUCCACAAUUAAUAACGCUUUGUUAAUAUUAAGAAAUUUUAGUCAAAGUUGCGUAAACUCAUACUCCGAUUUUAUUUUUAAAAAUGUAAUUAUGUCACACGAACGUGUACAAAAUAUUAUCAAAACUUAUGGUGAGUUUAGCCAGGUCAUGCCGAAAACUAUCCAUGUACAGGAGAAAAGAGCACAUUCUGGAGUAUAAUUCGCCUCCAGCAAAUUUAUGAUUUGAGGAAUCCUUGCCAGACCAUUCUAACAUCAAUAAAUCAUCAAAGAUCCAAAUUUAAAAAGUAUCUCAUGGAGGCCAUAAUUUGCCCUCUUAAGCUACUGAAAAUUACUCUGCAGUAGAACCCACAGAAAAACAAGUAUAGAAGACAUUGUACAAUUCACGAUUAGUUAAUAAAUGAUAACAUUAUUUUUCUUAUCCUUUAAAGAAAAAUAUCUUUUGACUCAAUUAUAUGAAUUUAAGCAUAAUCAGAUGCUUGCCAAAACUGAAAAAUGACAUUUGAAGACCUUAUAUUAUCCGGAUGAUUAAAACAUAUGGACUGUGACUACGUAGAGAAAUCAACAAGGAACCUAGUAUUGACCUAGGCAUGUGCACUUGAAUGUAAUAGAACAUGAAGAUUUUUACCUUAAUGAAAAUUUAUAAUAAAUUAUCCAAACAAAAGAGAACAAGCUAAGGCUAUCACAAUAAUCUGAACAAAUUCCAAAAUAAAGAAAGAACAUUUGAAGACUUUAGGAAAAACUUAAGACCAUUCCAAACCACAAAAUCGACUCUUAACAUUAGCAAUUUUCCUUAACAAGAAAAACAAUAGUAAAAUAGAAAUAAAAUUCAAAAAAACAAAACUUCUGCAACUUACUAAAUCUUAGAGGAAAGGAGAGAAAACAGCACAUGGGAGAACCUAAAUGUCAUUUCAAAUCACAAAAUUGAAGUAAAAAUUAAAUUGAAAGCACUCAAAUCAAGGGAAAGAGUGAAAGCAGGGAAAGAAAAAUCAUAUUAACCCAUACUAUCUUUCGAGUUUAAGUGCACAGUCCCAGACCAAUUUCAUCAAUUAAAGACAAAAUCCAAUAACCCAAUAGAUUGAAAUUAUUGGUAAACUAUCUUUCUCUUAAUCAAGCCUAAUGAAUAUUGAUUAACGAACCCACAGUAAUUUCUAAAGCCAUUCAAAAAGAAACAAAGCAAUAUGAACAUCAACAUGAAUAAAUACUGACCAUUUCAAACAUUCAUGUACCACACAACUCCGUUUCAUCAAAAUUUACUGCACAGAAUUGAGAAGAAAGACGAGAGUAAGAAUCUGACCUCAAUUAUAUUAACAAGAAUUCAAUUACAACAAACUCUGACAAACUAAAUCUGGCCGGAAGAAGCAACAAUAGCAGGAGCUCGGACCGCAAACGGAGCUUCGACGGUGAACCUCGAGCAGAGCCCAAACCUCACGGCAAAACUAACUAUGAAAAUGCCUGCAACCUAGAACUGGUAUUUAGUGUUUGAAUAUAGGUUGCCUUUGCUGUAGCCCAGAACUGGUGUUUGACGUUGAAGCUCCGAAAUGGAGUUCUACCGGUGGAAAUGGCAAAGUUACUCAGAAAGGGUGGGGAGAUGGGCCUGAUGGCUGAGGAAGAUGGGUCGUUUGGGGUAAGGUGAAGGAUUGACGGAUCAGUGGUGAAGAGAUGUGGCUGGAGAUCUUAGGGGUGUUCAAGGUUUUCUGGUUUUGGGUGUGAAAGGUGAAGAAAAAGACGUCUGGGGGGGGGGGUCUAUGAAAAACGGCGGAUCCAGGUCUCUCUCGCAUCUAGGUCUAGGAAAUUAGGUCCUCUUAUGCUUAGGGAUUUUUA
rnacentral:lncRNA from 1 species